UACGAAGGGGGCUAGCGUUGCUCGGAAUCACUGGGCGUAAAGCGCACGUAGGCGGGUCUUUAAGUCGGGGGUGAAAUCCUGGAGCUCAACUCCAGAACUGCCCUUCGAUACUGAGGAUCUCGAGUCCGGGAGAGGUGAGUGGAACUCCGAGUGUAGAGGUGAAAUUCGUAGAUAUUCGGAAGAACACCAGUGGCGAAGGCGGCUCACUGGCCCGGUACUGACGCUGAGGUGCGAAAGCGUGGGGAGCAAACAGG
rnacentral:rRNA from 1 species